GAUCCUGGCUCAGGAUGAACGCUGGCGGCACGCUUAACACAUGCAAGUCGAGCGGAGCAAUUACUCGGUAGUAGCUAGCGGCGGACGGGUGAGUAACACGUGGGUAACCUACCCCAUACAGGGGGAUAACGUAUAGAAAUGUACGCUAAUACCGCAUAAGCCAACAGGGAGGCAUCUUCUGGUUGGAAAAGCGCUAGUGGUAUGGGAUGGGCCCGCGACUGAUUAGCUGGUUGGUGAGGUAACGGCCCACCAAGGCGACGAUCAGUAGCCGGUCUGAGAGGAUGGACGGCCACAUUGGGACUGAGACACGGCCCAGACUCCUACGGGAGGCAGCAGUGGGGAAUAUUGCACAAUGGGGGGAACCCUGAUGCAGCCGAUGCCGCGUGAAGGAAGAAGUAUUUCGGUAUGUAAACUUCUAUCAGCAGGGAAGAAGAAAGACAGUACCUGAGUAAGCAGCCCCGGCUAACUACGUGCCAGCAGCUGC
rnacentral:rRNA from 1 species